GUUAGAAAUAUAUCAACGCUUGCCAGGAGAUUCUUUUCCUCCACCUGGAACCAUUUCAGGCAUCAUCUCCUCAUGACUCUCAACGUUAAUCCUGGUGGGGGUUUGGAUUGGUUCGUCCCUUCCACCACCAGCGCCACGCUGGUGGUGAUCGAGCUCUCUUGCCCAAAUAAAUCCCAUCUCGUAAAUAGUUAGGGAGUCAUAGGCUACUCUUUCGCCACGAGGGGGAUUCAAGCGAGCAAACAGGAGUCAAAACAGCGAGUAGAAACUCAGGUUAUAAUAACCACCAAAGCCUAUUAGCGGAAGAAUUUAAAGAAAACGGGAAGUACGUUCCCGAAGGACAAGGCAACAUGGGUAACACCACCCGCGAAGCUGGCAAAAUAACCUAGGGUUGCCCUAUGAUGGAAAUUUGCGAACCAUGUCGGGGGGCAAUACCGACGACGCUGUCAGCUCCGAACUCCCCACCCCACUGCCCCGGUGAUACUCUCAUUUCCAGCC
rnacentral:sRNA from 1 species